UACAGAGGUCUCAAGCGUUGUUCGGAUUCAUUGGGCGUAAAGGGUGUGUAGGUGGCGCGCUAAGUCGGGUGUGAAAUUUCGGAGCUUAACUCCGAAACUGCAUUCGAUACUGGCGUGCUUGAGGACUGGAGAGGAGACUGGAAUUCAUGGUGUAGCAGUGAAAUGCGUAGAGAUCAUGAGGAAGACCAGUGGUGAAGGCGGGUCUCUGGACAGGUACUGACGCUGAGACGCGAAAGCGUGGGUAGCAAACAGG
rnacentral:rRNA from 1 species